CAAGUAGGCGAGGCAAUCGCCCCCCUUCACUUUAUACAGGCUUCCAAAACAAAUUUUACAAAGUUAUUCUCAAUACAGAAUUUAUAAAUAAAAUGAAAGUCCGUAUAAAGUGGUGGGGGGAGGAAAGUCCGAACACCAUUGAAAGUAGCAGCUAACAGCUGUCGGCCGUGAGGCUAGAGGUGCGAACAGUGACGCUGAAGCGCGAAAGCGCUGAAGCGCCGAGCGCAUUUGUUAUGCGCUUGGCGAAUCUUAUUGGAAACUUUAAGAAUGAAACGGCUAAAUCCUUACUGGGUGCAAGAGCAAACCCCCAUCUUUUUAACAAAAGAGAGGGUAAAAAAGUAGCUCGCUUGAGCCAAAGAGUAAUUUUUGGCCCAGAUAGAUGAUUGUCCACGCCCGCCAAAAUUUCGAAGAAAUUUAGGCGGGCAAGACAAAAUUCGGCUUAUUGCCUGCUUGAGUU
rnacentral:RNase_P_RNA from 1 species